rnacentral:rRNA from 1 species
GUAGGUGGCAAGCGUUGUCCGGAAUUAUUGGGCGUAAAGCGCGCGCAGGCGGUUCUUUAAGUCUGAUGUGAAAGCCCACGGCUCAACCGUGGAGGGUCAUUGGAAACUGGAGAACUUGAGUACAGAAGAGGAAAGCGGAAUUCCACGUGUAGCGGUGAAAUGCGUAGAGAUGUGGAGGAACACCAGUGGCGAAGGCGGCUUUCUGGUCUGUAACUGACGCUGAGGCGCGAAAGCGUGGGGAGCAAACAGGAUUAGAUACCCUGGUAGUCCACGCCGUAAACGAUGAGUGCUAAGUGUUAGGGGGCUUCCGCCCCUUAGUGCUGCAGCUAACGCAUUAAGCACUCCCGCCCUGGGAGUACGGCCGCAAGGCUG